rnacentral:rRNA from 1 species
UACGGAGGGUGCGAGCGUUGUUCGGAAUCACUGGGCGUAAAGGGUGCGUAGGCGGGUCUUUAAGUCAGAGGUGAAAUCCUGGAGCUCAACUCCAGAACUGCCUUUGAUACUGAGGAUCUUGAGUACGGGAGAGGUGAGUGGAACUGCGAGUGUAGAGGUGAAAUUCGUAGAUAUUCGCAAGAACACCUAUGGCGAAGGCAGCUCUCUGGGACGGUACUGACGCUGAGACGCGAAAGCGUGGGGAGCGAACAGG